rnacentral:rRNA from 1 species
UGAGCGGCGNACGGGAUUAUUAAACGCGUGGGAACGUACCCUUUUCUAAGGAAUAGCCACUGGAAACGGUGAGUAAUACCUUAUACGCCCUUCGGGGGAAAGAUUUAUCGGAGAAGGAUCGGCCCGCGUUAGAUUAGAUAGUUGGUGGGGUAACGGCCUACCAAGUCUACGAUCUAUAGCUGGUUUUAGAGGAUGAUCAGCAACACUGGGACUGAGACACGGCCCAGACUCCUACGGGAGGCAGCAGUGGGGAAUCUUGGACAAUGGGCGCAAGCCUGAUCCAGCCAUGCCGCGUGAGUGAUGAAGGCCUUAGGGUCGUAAAGCUCUUUCGCUGGGGAUGAUAAUGACAGUACCCAGUAAAGAAACCCCGGCUAACUCCGUGCCAGCAGCCGCGGUAAUACGGAGGGGGUUAGCGUUGUUCGGAAUUACUGGGCGUAAAGCGCGCGUAGGCGGAUUGGACAAGUUGGGGGUGAANAUCCCGGGGCUCAACCUCGGAACUGCCUCCAAAAACUAUCAGUCUCAGAGUUCGAGAGAGGUGAGUGGAAUUCCGAGUGUANAGGUGANACAUUCGUCAGAUAUUCCGGAGGAACACCCCAGUGGCGAAGGGCGGGUUCACUGGGUUCGAUAACUGACGCUGAGGUGCGAACGUGUUGGGGGAGCAACCAGGGAUUAG